rnacentral:rRNA from 1 species
GCUGGCGGCAGGCCUAACACAUGCAAGUCGGGCGGUAACAGGGGAAGCUUGCUUCCCGCUGACGAGCGGCGGACGGGUGAGUAAUGCAUAGGAAUCUGCCUGGUAGUGGGGGAUAGCCCAGAGAAAUUUGGAUUAAUACCGCAUACGCCCUACGGGGAAAGCUGGGGGGACCUUCGGGGCCUAGCGCUAUCAGAUGAGCCUAUGUCGGAUUAGCUUGUUGGUGAGGUAACGGCUCACCAAGGCGACGAUCCGUAGCUGGUCUGAGAGGAUGAUCAGCCACACUGGGACUGAGACACGGCCCAGACUCCUACGGGAGGCAGCAGUGGGGAAUAUUGGACAAUGGGCGCAAGCCUGAUCCAGCCAUGCCGCGUGUGUGAAGAAGGCCUUCGGGUUGUAAAGCACUUUCAGCGAGGAGGAAAGGGAUGCUGCCAAUAUCAGCGUCCUGUGACGUUACUCGCAGAAGAAGCACCGGCUAACUCCGUG